CACACAAUAAAUUUAGUUUUGUUGGACGAUAUAAAAAAUACUCCCACACUGGCUGUGCUGUUAUAUAAUUGUGGUGACGUUAUUUCAGGCAAAGCAAUAUUGCUAACGCAGAAUCAACAAAUGUGCAAGAUAUCGCAGGGAAACAGCGAUUACGUCAAGUGCAAUAUGUUGUGACAAGAUGGAAUACCACAUUGGCUAUGAUCACACGUUUGCUAAAAGUGAAAGAUGAAUUGGUCCUCGCUCAGUCGCAUUUGGCAAACGGUCCUCGGUUUCUUACAGAGGAUUGGACAGUGAGUUUAAUUAGUAGUCGUUAAAUACAAUGAUUACUGUUCUCUCAGGUGAAUAUGUGACU